UACGGAGGGUGCAAGCGUUGUUCGGAAUUACUGGGCGUAAAGCGCGCGUAGGCGGUUUGUUAAGUCAGAUGUGAAAGCCCUCGGCUCAACCGGGGACGUGCAUUUGAAACUGGCAGACUUGAGUACUGGAGGGGGUGGUGGAAUUCCCGGUGUAGAGGUGAAAUUCGUAGAUAUCGGGAGGAAUACCGGUGGCGAAGGCGACCACCUGGCCAGAUACUGACGCUGAGGUGCGAAAGCGUGGGGAGCAAACAGGAUUAGAAACCCCCGUAGUCC
rnacentral:rRNA from 1 species